GUGCUCACUUCGGCAGCACAUAUACUAAAAUUGGAACGACACAGAGAAGAUUAGCGUGGCCCCUGCGCAAGGAUGACACGCAAAUUUGUGAAGCAUUCCAUAUUUUU
rnacentral:snRNA from 1 species